UCUUAUGGAUGAGCAAAGCAAGUGGUCUCUUGAGAUAAAAUCUAUUCCUGGUGAAGAUGUUGUGAA
rnacentral:pre_miRNA from 4 species